rnacentral:sRNA from 1 species
AGCAUCGCAAUACAAAUAGGUGGCCA